AUGGGGCGCAGCAGGGGCGAAACCUUCACAAUGCACGAAAGUGAGAUGAGGUUACCCGGAGUGCUACAAAGUAGCUGCGGCAGGUGAGUAAGAUUCCCUGCUAGGAAGGAGAGGGCAAGGCUGGUGCCAGCCGCCGCGGUAAAACCAGCUCUUCAAGUGGUCGGGAUUAUUAUUGGGCUUAAAGUGUUCGUAGCCUGUUUAGUAAGUUCCUGGUUAAAUCGGAUAGCUUAACUAUCUGUCUGCUAGAAAUACUACUAUACUAGGGGGCGGGAGAGGUCUGAGGUACUCCAGAGGUAGCGGUGAAAUGCUAUAAUCCUUGGGGGACCACCAGUGGCGAAGGCGUCAGACUGGAACGCGCCCGACGGUGAGGGACGAAAGCCAGGGGAGCGAACCGGAUUAGAUACCCGGGUAGUCCUGGCUGUAAACGAUGCGUGCUAGGUGUUGGUAUAGCUAUGAGCCGUAUCAGUGCCGCAGGAAAACCGAUAAGCGCGCCGCCUGGGGAGUACGGUCGCAAGGCUGAAACUUAAAGGAAUUGGCGGGGGAGCAC
rnacentral:rRNA from 1 species